rnacentral:lncRNA from 1 species
GGGUCUUUGCUUGCGGAAGUGUCCCCAGGGAGGGCUUUACCAGACCCUCAGCUGCUUCCUGCACUGGAGCCCAGCUGGUCUCCCAGGGGUGGGUAGUCAUUCCACUGACUUCACACACUAUGCCCUGGUUCUCCAAAUUGCACUGGUGCCAAAGUGCUCUUGCUGCUUUCUGUUCAGGUCCUCUAAGAGCAAAGGAUAAAGCUGGAAGAAUAACACCUUCCCCAGCGUCCUCUGACAUCGUAGAGGAAAUCAUAAAGGAGUUAGCGAAGGCAGCACCUGGUGGGUAUAUUUCACUCUGUCUUUUGAGAAGCACUACCUUCCAGAGACACCAUCCUGGAAAGGAGGAGCCGUUCCUUAUACUCACACUGUCCUGCUUUCUUUCUAAAGGGAUGGCCAGAGAGACAGUACCGAAGGAAGUACUUUGGAAAUUAAACGGCCGCACGCUGCCGCUCUCUGGGAAAGGGGCAGAGGCAACGCAGGCAACUGCCACACCAGCUGUUCUCAUAGGCUCUGCCUAUCCAACACCUCAGCCUCAUGUGGACCACGAGUCUCAGCCCAAUCCAACAGCUAAGUCAGCGCAAGGAAGGAGCAUCCAGGUGCUGCAGAGCCCAAAUGUCAGACAGGCAUCCCUGCAGGAUGAUGCAGGUUGUGCCCUGUCCAGGCACGACCCCUGGUAUGCUCUCCUUCUGAACUACUGAUGUAGGUGUUGAUGUGACAGAAACUUCUCACGGGUCUUUGCUUGCAGAAGUGUCCCCAGGGAGGGCUUUACCAGACCCUCGGCUGCUUCCUGCACUGGAGCCCAGCUGGUCUCCCAGGGGUGGGUAGUCAUUCCACUGACUUCACACACUAUGCCCGGGUUCUCCAAAUUGCACUGGUGCCAAAAUGAACUUGCUGCUUUCUGUUCAGGUCCUCUAAGAGCAAAGGAUGAAGCUAGAAGAAUAACACCUUCCCCAGCGUCCUCUGACAUCGUAGAGGAAAUCAUAAAGGAGUUACAGGAGGCAGCACCUG